rnacentral:rRNA from 1 species
GACGAACGCUGGCGGCGUGCUUAACACAUGCAAGUCGAACGGAAAGGCCUGCUUUCCCUUGUGGAUUGCGGGUACUCGAGUGGCGAACGGGUGAGUAACACGUGAGUGAUCUGCCCCCAACUUGGGUAUAAGCCUGGGAAACUGGGUCUAAUUCCCGAUAGGACUGCAGGGUGGUGCCUGUGGUGGAAAACGAUUUUCUAGUGGUUGGGGAUGAGCUCGCGGCCUAUCAGCUUGUUGGUGGGGUAAUGGCCUACCAAGGCGGCGACGGGUAGCCGGCCUGAGAGUGUGGACGGCCACAUUGGGACUGAGACACGGCCCAGACGCCUACGGGAGGCAGCAGUGGGGAAUAUUGCACAAUGGGCGGAAGCCUGAUGCAGCGACGCCGCGUGGGGGAUGACGGCCUUCGGGUUGUAAACUCCUUUCGACCGCGAGGAAGCCACCUGGUUGGAAGGGUGGUGACGGUAGUGGUAGAAGAAGCACCGGCUAACUACGUG